UUGGAACUGCCCGAUGCGUUAUUGUGCGAUUACUCGGGGCCAUACAACCCACCCGGGAGCUGUCCCUGUGAGGGACCGUGGUCUUUUGCAUACGGCGCCCACCUACAUAGUAGGUCUCCGGGAGCAUGCACAAACGGUCUGGGCGGUUCUAUU
rnacentral:sRNA from 1 species